rnacentral:rRNA from 1 species
GGGUUGUGAGGUUAAGCGACUAAGCGUACACGGUGGAUGCCCUGGCAGUCAGAGGCGAUGAAGGACGUGCUAAUCUGCGAUAAGCGCCGGUAAGGUGAUAUGAACCGUUAUAACCGGCGAUUUCCGAAUGGGGAAACCCAGUGUGAUUCGUCACACUAUCAUUAACUGAAUCCAUAGGUUAAUGAGGCGAACCGGGGGAACUGAAACAUCUAAGUACCCCGAGGAAAAGAAAUCAACCGAGAUUCCCCCAGUAGCGGCGAGCGAACGGGGAGGAGCCCAGAGCCUGAAUCAGCAUGUGUGUUAGUGGAAGCGUCUGGAAAGGCGCGCGAUACAGGGUGACAGCCCCGUACACAAAAGCGCAUGUGCUGUGAGCUCGAUGAGUAGGGCGGGACACGUGGUAUCCUGUCUGAAUAUGGGGGGACCAUCCUCCAAGGCUAAAUACUCCUGACUGACCGAUAGUGAACCAGUACCGUGAGGGAAAGGCGAAAAGAACCCCGGCGAGGGGAGUGAAAAAGAACCUGAAACCGUGUACGUACAAGCAGUGGGAGCACAGGUUUACCUGUGUGACUGCGUACCUUUUGUAUAAUGGGUCAGCGACUUAUAUUCUGUAGCAAGGUUAACCGUAUAGGGGAGCCGUAGGGAAACCGAGUCUUAACCGGGCGUUAAGUUGCAGGGUAUAGACCCGAAACCCGGUGAUCUAGCCAUGGGCAGGUUGAAGGUUGGGUAACACUAACUGGAGGACCGAACCGACUAAUGUUGAAAAAUUAGCGGAUGACCUGUGGCUGGGGGUGAAAGGCCAAUCAAACCGGGAGAUAGCUGGUUCUCCCCGAAAGCUAUUUAGGUAGCGCCUCGUGAAUUCAUCUCCGGGGGUAGAGCACUGUUUCGGCUAGGGGGCCAUCCCGGCUUACCAACCCGAUGCAAACUGCGAAUACCGGAGAAUGUUAUCACGGGAGACACACGGCGGGUGCUAACGUCCGUCGUGAAGAGGGAAACAACCCAGACCGCCAGCUAAGGUCCCAAAGUCAUGGUUAAGUGGGAAACGAUGUGGGAAGGCCCAGACAGCCAGGAUGUUGGCUUAGAAGCAGCCAUCAUUUAAAGAAAGCGUAAUAGCUCACUGGUCGAGUCGGCCUGCGCGGAAGAUGUAACGGGGCUAAACCAUGCACCGAAGCUGCGGCAGCGACGCUGAUGCGUUGUUGGGUAGGGGAGCGUUCUGUAAGCCUGCGAAGGUGGCCUGUGAGGGUUGCUGGAGGUAUCAGAAGUGCGAAUGCUGACAUAAGUAACGAUAAAGCGGGUGAAAAGCCCGCUCGCCGGAAGACCAAGGGUUCCUGUCCAACGUUAAUCGGGGCAGGGUGAGUCGACCCCUAAGGCGAGGCCGAAAGGCGUAGUCGAUGGGAAACGGGUUAAUAUUCCCGUACUUGGUGUUACUGCGAAGGGGGGACGGAGAAGGCUAUGUUGGCCGGGCGACGGUUGUCCCGGUUUAAGCGUGUAGGUGUGUGUUCCAGGUAAAUCCGGUUCACUUUAACACUGAGGCGUGACGACGAGGCACUACGGUGCUGAAGCAACAAAUGCCCUGCUUCCAGGAAAAGCCUCUAAGCAUCAGGUAACAUCAAAUCGUACCCCAAACCGACACAGGUGGUCAGGUAGAGAAUACCAAGGCGCUUGAGAGAACUCGGGUGAAGGAACUAGGCAAAAUGGUGCCGUAACUUCGGGAGAAGGCACGCUGACACGUAGGUGAAGUGAUUUACUCAUGGAGCUGAAGUCAGUCGAAGAUACCAGCUGGCUGCAACUGUUUAUUAAAAACACAGCACUGUGCAAACACGAAAGUGGACGUAUACGGUGUGACGCCUGCCCGGUGCCGGAAGGUUAAUUGAUGGGGUCAGCGCAAGCGAAGCUCCUGAUCGAAGCCCCGGUAAACGGCGGCCGUAACUAUAACGGUCCUAAGGUAGCGAAAUUCCUUGUCGGGUAAGUUCCGACCUGCACGAAUGGCGUAAUGAUGGCCAGGCUGUCUCCACCCGAGACUCAGUGAAAUUGAACUCGCUGUGAAGAUGCAGUGUACCCGCGGCAAGACGGAAAGACCCCGUGAACCUUUACUAUAGCUUGACACUGAACAUUGAGCCUUGAUGUGUAGGAUAGGUGGGAGGCUUUGAAGU